AUUGAACGCUGGCGGCAGGCCUAACACAUGCAAGUCGAACGAGUGGCGGACGGGUGAGUAAUGUCUGGGAAACUGCCUGAUGGAGGGGGAUAACUACUGGAAACGGUAGCUAAUACCGCAUACCAUCGGAUGUGCCCAGAUGGGAUUAGCUAGUAGGUGGGGUAAAGGCGCACCUAGGCGACGAUCCCUAGCUGGUCUGAGAGGAUGACGAUCCAAACUGGAACUGAGACACGGACCAGACUCCUACGGGAGGCAGCAGGGGGGAAGAGUGCACAAUGGGCGCAAGCCUGAUGCAGCCAAGCCGGGUGUAUGAAGAAGGCCUUAGGGUUGUAAAGUACUUUCAGCGGGGAGGCGUUACCCGAAGAAGAAGCACCGGCUAACUCCGUGCCAGCAGCCGCGGUAAUAC
rnacentral:rRNA from 1 species